rnacentral:lncRNA from 1 species
CUUGUGUAACACUUACAAGUCUUUUGUAGACGAAACGCGCGUCUGGCGUAAAUACAAAAUGUAAUCCUAGUAUCUAAGAUGAGUUUGUGAUAUUCAUUCUAAGGGAUUUUCUGGGUUUUUUUUAACAAACUGUUUUAAUUGAUAUCAUAUCUUUUAAUUUAAGCGAUCUGCAAAACAAUGAAAUAUCAACAAUAGAAUCUCGCACCUUUAUGGAUCUUCCAAGUCUAUAUUAUUU